rnacentral:rRNA from 1 species
UACGAAGGGAGCUAGCGUUGUUCGGAUAUACUGGGCGUAAAGCGCACGUAGGCGGCGCCGUAAGUCAGGGGUGAAAUCCCGGAGCUCAACUCCGGAACUGCCCUUGAAACUGCAGUGCUAGAAUUCUGGAGAGGCGAGUGGAAUUCCGAGUGUAGAGGUGAAAUUCGUAGAUAUUCGGAAGAACACCAGUGGCGAAGGCGACUCGCUGGACAGACAUUGACGCUGAGGUGCGAAAGCGUGGGGAGCAAACAGG